GGAGCCUACAAUUCUAGGAUAUAGAAGCAGCUUUAGUAACACAACGAAGCAUUAAUCAUGCUCUGGCUCCAACCUGUCAAUGCCCUACCCUCUGCUAGAUUUAGUAAGCCGGGAGGGACAGGGGUCAAGAAGGCAUGCGGUUGGGCAUAUAGCUCUUGAAACACACAGCCCAUCUAGCCUGGUGCUAGACUGAGUACCCAGAUGGACACAGCUGAGUUCGGUUGGGGCCAUUCAGCUCACCCAACCAAGUCUUGAUAAUACAGGCCAACUCCUUCAUCCAUGAUCAAGCUGUGGAUGAGGAUCGUCUUAUUAAUGGACUGACAUGGCACCCAGUAAGAGCACCACCAAACUAGAGGACUCAACAUAAAGAGAAGCCUUUAGUGGAAGAGUUUGCUCAGCUGCUCAAAUCCAUUUGAGAAAUCCAGCCUACACACACACACACACACACACACACACACACAUCUUUUUGAGCCAAGAGAUCAGACUACAAACAGCUUACAAGCUUUUUACCAACUGGCAGGAAAAAUUUUGAGGUGACCCCUGGAACAGUUCUCUCAAAGGUGACCCAACCUUCUACUGAAGCUGCAGUCUCUUUGCCUACUCCUGUUCCUGCUGAGGAUGCUUCGAGGAAGUCAAAGCGAGUUGCUCCACCCCGACCCACGGUGCCUCCACCCAUAGCCCAGCCUCGAACCCCACCUCCUGUGCAGCUUCAGACCCAGCCUCCUGCCCCAGACUCUCCUUCUAUCCCUAAAGCAAUGCCUCGAAGAACCGUCGGAGGAAGCAUGCGAGCUCCCUCUGUCCCUCCACCACUUCCACCCCAGCCAGUCAGGCGUCAGAGUCGCAAUGCGUCCCCAUCCCCGAAGCCUCCUUCAGAAAGCAGGACCAAUGAGGCAGAUGAAACACCUCUUUCUCUUCCUGGAGACAGCAGCAUAGAAACAUCCAAGGAAUCCCUCCCUGUGACAACAGAACCCAGUGAACCCCCACCUGUAGAAAGAAGCAGCUCUCCAUCUGCACCGGAUCUGCAGGCUGAUGCUCUGGAGAAUAAGGAAGAAGGAGCUGCAGCAUAAGGAAGGAAAAGGUGCACGAUCAGGUGUGACCCUGGGCACAUCACACAAGGCUAGCAGCUCUUGUGGGGACAUAGAGGUGCCAUAUUGACAUCUGUCAUUAUUGUGGCUUGGAAAGCAGCACUCGCGUCUGCAACCUCAAAAGCAAUCUCUCUUCUUCCAUGUGCCUGUGCUUCUUGCUGCCUUUUCCACUAUUCAUGAAUGGCUCUUUUCCUACUUUGUAUUAUUUUGAACUCUCCUCCUGGUACUCCUCUGACCUUUCCCAAGCAGCAUUCAGAUGCAGAGCCAGAGACGUUUAAAAAAAAAAAUCCUUCCAGCAUGUAGUUAAGUUGCACUGUAUAACCUUGUUCUUGAUGCAAUAGUUAAUUCCAAGCUGAGAGCAUUCAAACAUAGGAUUCACUUCCCCCCACUGCUGUGUGAUGUGGUACCGUCCAGAAUUCUUCCUUUCCGUUUAAUGCUCCAUUCUGUAUAAUGUGCAGAUCUGCUUUUUUGUGCUUCUAAUGUCUUUGCUUCCCCCCCCCCCUUGAAGAGAAUUCAGAACCUCAACAAAUCCUAACAGGGUGUGUCCACUUGAUUCCAGUUGCCCUACAACCCACCUUAGCUCAGUCUCAGGGAUUAUUCUGUCCUUUUACAGUGAUUGGUAGGGAUGUGAUUGGUAGAGAGGGUGGGCCAUUUGAAAAUCAACCCUAUGUAUAUCCGGGUUAUGUGCGGUAUUUCUAGUUAUUUUUUAUAAGGGCAGCAGGUGCAGCACAAUAAAAAUCAAAAGUGCAGGCCAAAACACAAUUGUCAGCUGUGGACCCCAAAAAGGAUCUUGGACCUUGAAGAACUAAUGGAACUAAUUUUACGUGCAGCUUUUCCCAUCAUAGAACUGUAGUAACGCUAGAAGCUGUCACCAAUAGACUCCCCCUUUUGGCCACUCUUUAAAGGUAGAGGCUUGAUCCUAGUUACAGUCAGUGUAUGUAUUCUCACUGUGGAGAGCCUAGAUACAGGGCUUGUUCACAUAUGCACACACAUCGCUUUGUUUCUCUAUGCAAUUAUUGGCAGAUAAAUGUGUGAGCACCUUAACUAAUGCCCAUUUUGUUUGAGCUGAUCUGAAAAUUUGUCUGGACUUUGCCACACAACACCACAAUCGCACAUGCAAGUGCUCAGGUGCAAAUGUGCAUUUGAACCACUCCUAAGUUUGAAGAUGGAUGAGUGAAGGAUAGUGGACUUCCCACCUUAUAUUCUAGAUGAGCUUUUUGCUGCAGGCACAUCUGCCCUGCAACCUUUAACCUUGGCUUCUCCAAGAAAGUGUAUAGUAGUAGUUUUGUAAUAAGACUUUGAAAGAGAUGUGUGGUACCCCAUUUAAGGAACUACAAUUCUCAGGGUCUUUGGGGAGAGGACAAUUAAGCUCAUUUACAUUUGCAAUGCAGACAUGACCUAAUAAACUCUUCACAUGGGUUUCCUUAGGAUUGGAAAGGUGACCACUUAUUUUUAUACAUAGCUGGUAAAUUAUUUUUUAACUGUACGGUCAUAUUUAUGGCUGAGAGAAGGAGCACGUUCCUUUAUUUUUUAAAGAAUGUGUCUGCUUUGCUUGUGUCAGAGACAAACUGAACUCCUGGAUAGUUCUUGAGAAAAUCCUGUAAAAUGACAAGAGUGCUCUGUGGCAUCUUAAGGUUUUAAUAAAUAUAUUGCAGCAUGCA